GGGUUGUGAGGUUAAGCGACUAAGCGUACACGGUGGAUGCCCUGGCAGUCAGAGGCGAUGAAGGGCGUGCUAAUCUGCGAUAAGCGCCGGUAAGGUGAUAUGAACCGUUAUAACCGGCGAUACCCGAAUGGGGAAACCCAGUGUGAUUCGUCACACUAUCAUUAACUGAAUCCAUAGGUUAAUGAGGCGAACCGGGGGAACUGAAACAUCUAAGUACCCCGAGGAAAAGAAAUCAACCGAGAUUCCCCCAGUAGCGGCGAGCGAACGGGGAGGAGCCCAGAGCCUGAAUCAGCAUGUGUGUUAGUGGAAGCGUCUGGAAAGGCGCGCGAUACAGGGUGACAGCCCCGUACACAAAAGCGCAUGUGCUGUGAGCUCGAUGAGUAGGGCGGGACACGUGGUAUCCUGUCUGAAUAUGGGGGGACCAUCCUCCAAGGCUAAAUACUCCUGACUGACCGAUAGUGAACCAGUACCGUGAGGGAAAGGCGAAAAGAACCCCGGCGAGGGGAGUGAAAAAGAACCUGAAACCGUGUACGUACAAGCAGUGGGNNNNNNNNNNNNNNNNNNNNACUGCGUACCUUUUGUAUAAUGGGUCAGCGACUUAUAUUCUGUAGCAAGGUUAACCGAAUAGGGGAGCCGGAGGGAAACCGAGUCUUAAUUGGGCGUUAAGUUGCAGGGUAUAGACCCGAAACCCGGUGAUCUAGCCAUGGGCAGGUUGAAGGUUGGGUAACACUAACUGGAGGACCGAACCGACUAAUGUUGAAAAAUUAGCGGAUGACCUGUGGCUGGGGGUGAAAGGCCAAUCAAACCGGGAGAUAGCUGGUUCUCCCCGAAAGCUAUUUAGGUAGCGCCUCGUGAAUUCAUCUCCGGGGGUAGAGCACUGUUUCGGCUAGGGGGCCAUCCCGGCUUACCAACCCGAUGCAAACUGCGAAUACCGGAGAAUGUUAUCACGGGAGACACACGGCGGGUGCUAACGUCCGUCGUGAAGAGGGAAACAACCCAGACCGCCAGCUAAGGUCCCAAAGUCAUGGUUAAGUGGGAAACGAUGUGGGAAGGCCCAGACAGCCAGGAUGUUGGCUUAGAAGCAGCCAUCAUUUAAAGAAAGCGUAAUAGCUCACUGGUCGAGUCGGCCUGCGCGGAAGAUGUAACGGGGCUAAACCAUGCACCGAAGCUGCGGCAGCGACACUGUGUGUUGUUGGGUAGGGGAGCGUUCUGUAAGCCUGUGAAGGUGUGUCGUGAGGCAUGCUGGAGGUAUCAGAAGUGCGAAUGCUGACAUAAGUAACGAUAAAGCGGGUGAAAAGCCCGCUCGCCGGAAGACCAAGGGUUCCUGUCCAACGUUAAUCGGGGCAGGGUGAGUCGACCCCUAAGGCGAGGCCGAAAGGCGUAGUCGAUGGGAAACGGGUUAAUAUUCCCGUACUUGGUGUUACUGCGAAGGGGGGACGGAGAAGGCUAUGUUGGCCGGGCGACGGUUGUCCCGGUUUAAGCGUGUAGGUGUGUGUUCCAGGUAAAUCCGGUUCACUUUAACACUGAGGCGUGACGACGAGGCACUACGGUGCUGAAGCAACAAAUGCCCUGCUUCCAGGAAAAGCCUCUAAGCAUCAGGUAACAUCAAAUCGUACCCCAAACCGACACAGGUGGUCAGGUAGAGAAUACCAAGGCGCUUGAGAGAACUCGGGUGAAGGAACUAGGCAAAAUGGUGCCGUAACUUCGGGAGAAGGCACGCUGACACGUAGGUGAAGUGAUUUACUCAUGGAGCUGAAGUCAGUCGAAGAUACCAGCUGGCUGCAACUGUUUAUUAAAAACACAGCACUGUGCAAACACGAAAGUGGACGUAUACGGUGUGACGCCUGCCCGGUGCCGGAAGGUUAAUUGAUGGGGUCAGCGCAAGCGAAGCUCCUGAUCGAAGCCCCGGUAAACGGCGGCCGUAACUAUAACGGUCCUAAGGUAGCGAAAUUCCUUGUCGGGUAAGUUCCGACCUGCACGAAUGGCGUAAUGAUGGCCAGGCUGUCUCCACCCGAGACUCAGUGAAAUUGAACUCGCUGUGAAGAUGCAGUGUACCCGCGGCAAGACGGAAAGACCCCGUGAACCUUUACUAUAGCUUGACACUGAACAUUGAGCCUUGAUGUGUAGGAUAGGUGGGAGGCUUUGAAGUGUGGACGCCAGUCUGCAUGGAGCCGACCUUGAAAUACCACCCUUUAAUGUUUGAUGUUCUAACGUGGACCCGUUACCCGGGUUGCGGACAGUGUCUGGUGGGUAGUUUGACUGGGGCGGUCUCCUCCUAAAGAGUAACGGAGGAGCACGAAGGUUGGCUAAUCCUGGUCGGACAUCAGGAGGUUAGUGCAAUGGCAUAAGCCAGCUUGACUGCGAGCGUGACGGCGCGAGCAGGUGCGAAAGCAGGUCAUAGUGAUCCGGUGGUUCUGAAUGGAAGGGCCAUCGCUCAACGGAUAAAAGGUACUCCGGGGAUAACAGGCUGAUACCGCCCAAGAGUUCAUAUCGACGGCGGUGUUUGGCACCUCGAUGUCGGCUCAUCACAUCCUGGGGCUGAAGUAGGUCCCAAGGGUAUGGCUGUUCGCCAUUUAAAGUGGUACGCGAGCUGGGUUUAGAACGUCGUGAGACAGUUCGGUCCCUAUCUGCCGUGGGCGCUGGAGAACUGAGGGGGGCUGCUCCUAGUACGAGAGGACCGGAGUGGACGCAUCACUGGUGUUCGGGUUGUCAUGCCAAUGGCACUGCCCGGUAGCUAAAUGCGGAAGAGAUAAGUGCUGAAAGCAUCUAAGCACGAAACUUGCCCCGAGAUGAGUUCUCCCUGAGACUUAGAGUCUCCUGAAGGAACGUUGAAGACGACGACGUUGAUAGGCCGGGUGUGUAAGCGCAGCGAUGCGUUGAGCUAACCGGUACUAAUGAACCGUGAGGCUUAACCUUACAACGCCGAAG
rnacentral:rRNA from 1 species